rnacentral:tRNA from 1 species
GGUCUCGUAGUGUAGCGGUUAACACGCCUGCCUGUCACGCAGGAGAUCGCGGGUUGGAUUCCCGUCGAGACCGCCA